rnacentral:pre_miRNA from 13 species
AUCGUCCAGUCAUGUGACCUAUGGACUUCCCUUUGUUAUCCUAUGCCUGGACUCAAAAAAGGGGCUGGGAGGGCAAAGGGUUGCCCAGUUGUCAUACAGUCA